GUGCCAACGCCGGCGGGGCUGCAAGCAGGGCCACUCUGAGCAAGCAAGGGAGCCCAGAGCCGCUGUUGGCCCUGCCCACCAACUGGCCAGAGGGAAGGUGAGCUCCAGAAGGGAAGGGAGUUCUUUCACAGCUUUCUGUCUCUGUAUCUCCUGUGACUUGAAUGGACUCAGCACACAGCAGGCCUGAGUGAAGGAUGCUUGUGGUUGCUAUGGCUUACAUGACAACGAAUUGUCUGUAAUCCUACAGGACUAUGGCACAUGAAAGCUGGAAGCGCUUCUUUCCGACUGCAUCGCCCAGCACCAGAGCCCGAGUUCUGUAAAGCUCUGUUAAAGGCACAUGAGCUGUGCUGGCUUCAACUGCCCUGAACUUGGAUAAGCUGGGCCGCUGAUGGACCCUUCCCAACCGGUUGUUGCUGCCUUGGUUUCCCGACAGUCCACUGUGCUGACCCUGCAGCAGGGACUCCCAGCUUUGCAUCAACUCCAUUCAACACCUACUGUGUGCAGGGACCAGAGGGUGUGGAGGUGGCAUUCCCUGCUUUAUCUUGAUAAGUAAACGUUUGUCUCCUGCCCACUCAUCAGUGAAGCAGAACAACUACCUAGCAGUCUCCUGGGAGCCACCCCUCCAGAACCUCUGGAUGUCAACAGACACCAUCUACUUAUAGGAUUCAGCCAGCACAUGUGUAGACUGGAGCUGCAAGAUGGUCAUCAAAUGAAAGGAGUCCCUGGAGAAACUAUUACCUGGUCCCCACAGGAGUUAACCUGACUGCCCAAGUUCACCAGUCAGCAGCCUAGCGUGUCACCUUAAAAUUCAGUCCCAAAAGAUGGGCUGACUUCUCAUUUUAGAGAUGAAGACAGAGAGGCCCAGAGAGGGGAAGAGAUUCAUCCAAGGCAAAGCCAGGCAGAGCCAGGGGUGAGAGGCAGCAGUGAUGGCUACAGCCAUACCUUGAGUCAAGGCACUGAGACGGAGAGUGUUAGGCAUUUUGGAGAGCGGAGACAGUGAGAAGCUCAGUGCAGCGGCGAAGAGAGUUCGCUGCAGGGAGUGAGGAAAGGGGCAUUUGCAUCAUCAGCAAAAGGGCCAUUUUCACCUGCCUCAGCAUUCCAUUCCCGUGCUCCCUGACUUGGUCCUGGUGGGGCGUGCUGGGACUAUGAAGAGUUACUGCUGUGAGCGCUGCGGCCCCCCAUACCUCCACCCUAGCACCAAGGCCCUGAACAGAAUGGAUGGUGUCCACCUGCAUUGGGAAGGGCUAUCUGUCUUACAACCCAUGAGUAGAUACUAUUAGCAGCCCAUCUUAAGAUGAGGAAGCUAAGGGUCCUUCCUGAGGCAAAUCCUCAGCCGCUGUUGCACGGGCUCUAGGGGAAGCCAGCUGCCAUGUUGUGGGGAUGCUCAAGGAGCCCUGAGGAGAGGCCCAUGUGAUGAGGAGCUGAGAGGACUUGGGCCAAAAGCCAGUGGAGAAUUGAGGUCUCCUGUCAGUAGCCAUAUAAGCAAGUAUUCUGGAAGCACAUCCUCCAUUCCCAGUCAAUAUCUUAACUUCAACCUCAUGAAAGACCUUGAGCCUAGCUCAGCCACUCCCAGACUCCUGACCCACAGAUACUGUGUGAGACACCUUGAAUCACAGAUAGUUGGAGAUGAAAAGGACCUUAGAAACCAUGAGAAACACCAUGGGCGAGGAGACUGGGGAGCUCUGGAGCCAUAAACCUGGCUUCAGGUCCCAGUUCUGCCACUCACCAACUGAGUGGCCAAGGACGGCAUUUUUCAGAGAACAGGAGGGAGCUGCUUCCUUAAGUAUCGCCUGGGAUCACAUUCAGACUGGAGAUGUUGCCAGAAGCAAAUCCACCUCGGUGGGGAUUCUGGUUGACCCAGGAGACCCUCUGCUCCUGAGGGAACUGCUGAGGGGCUUGGGCUAUGACUCCAGGACCAAGAGUUUUGGGAGAGACUUUCCUUCCCUGGACAAGGAAAAGGAAGUGGAGCUACCAGCUGCUGCUCUGGGAGGCUAGAGGCUCAUCUCUCUACCAUGCACCCUUUCCGAAGCUCUGUUCUCUGAGGGCUUCUGGAAAUACCCGCUUUAAUCAGAGUUAAGCCGGAUUUGAAGGUUGCGAUGAUUAGAUGUGUCAAAAAAAUUUUACAUCUAAUAACACCCAACGCUGUCAAGAAUGUGGAAAAAAACAGACAUGUAUGCAUUGUUGAUGCGAGUGUCAAUUGGUACCCAUUUUUUGGAGGGAGUUUGCUAGUAUCAUUAGAAUGUGAAAUAGAUAUGCUUUCAGACUCAACAUUUCCACUUCUAAGAGUCAAUUCUAGAGAAAUAUGUGCACAUGGACACAAAGAGUCGGGCAUGAAGAUGUUUGCAGAAAUGUUGUUUGCAACUGCAAAAAACAGUAAAAUAAAAAGCCACCAAAUCAAAAAAAAAAAAAAAAAAAAAAAAAAAAAAAAAAAAAAAAAAAAA
rnacentral:lncRNA from 1 species